rnacentral:rRNA from 1 species
AUGAACGCUGGCGGCGUGCCUAAUACAUGCAAGUAGAACGCUGAAGCUUGGUGCUUGCACCGAGCGGAUGAGUUGCGAACGGGUGAGUAACGCGUAGGUAACCUGCCUCUUAGCGGGGGAUAACUAUUGGAAACGAUAGCUAAUACCGCAUAAAAGUCGAUAUCGCAUGAUAUUGAUUUGAAAGGUGCAAAUGCAUCACUAAGAGAUGGACCUGCGUUGUAUUAGCUAGUUGGUGAGGUAACGGCUCACCAAGGCGACGAUACAUAGCCGACCUGAGAGGGUGAUCGGCCACACUGGGACUGAGACACGGCCCAGACUCCUACGGGAGGCAGCAGUAGGGAAUCUUCGGCAAUGGGGGCAACCCUGACCGAGCAACGCCGCGUGAAUGAAGAAGGUUUUCGGAUCGUAAAGCUCUGUUGUAAGAGAAGAACGAGUGUGAGAGUGGAAAGUUCACACUGUGACGGUAACUUACCAGAAAGGGACGGCUAACUACGUG